CUCGUCCGUAUUGCCGCCGGGUCCGCAGCCCCGCAGUACUACAGCCAGGCCGCUCUCCCCCCACCCGCGUUCGUGGCCUUCGAGCUGUAUAAUGAAGAUAAUAGUCCCCGCUCCACAGGGUCAUUGUGAGAUUCAAGCAGGGUGGUUGAUGGGGAGCCCUUAGCCCAGUGCCUUGGCGUGUACCAAGUGCUUGAGGAAGGGGAGCUCCCAUCACGGAGGGUGGAACUUGGCCAGCUGACUUCGCUUAUGCAAGGAAAUACACCUGUUGCAGGUGCUUCUGGUUGUGGGAUGUGGGACGCCACCUUAACGUGGCCUAACGAGCAGUGCCAUGUCCGUGCCCAGGAUCCGAACCCUGGGCCGCUGCAGCAGAGCGUGCGAACUUAACCACUCGGCCACAGAGCCAGCCCCUGAAGAGCCCGACUGCACCAUCUCUGCCUGGUCCUGAAGGAGCAGCUGCCACCAGCACCUUCUCAGGGGCUGGGCCAAGCCGAACCGCGCAGCCGACACCCACAGUGCUGCAGGCCCUGGCCAGCUGCAGUUGGAGGCACAGUGCCAUCUAGCGGAUAAAAGAAAAAAGGCUCCAUCGCUUUUUUUUUUAAGUUACUGGAGAACCAUAGACCAAAGAAUCAGCUGUCUUUAUUUGCUACCAAAGGAGCUUGAUAACCAGAGAAGGAAAUGGAUUUCCUGAAUGUCACACAGCCAGCUGGUGGCCGCAUUGAUACUACAGAGCCUCAUCAUUUGAGCCUUGGUCCAGCAUUCUCCGCACUAUACCACAGUAAAGAAACCAGAGGAUAAAAGAGCUUCUAGUUUUGGCUGAGUGGCAUUUCAGACCUCUGCUGAGGUGGAGGUGAACACAAGCGGGGGCCAGCGUCUGAAGAGAUGGUGUCAGUUAUUCACUAUCGAAUGCCUUGGCUGGACUCUCUCAGUCAUGGGUGCAAGGCCAGAGCAAAUUCAGUUGUCCACCCUGCUCUCCCUCCCAGCAAAUCUGCCAUGAAACUCAGCACAAGAUAAGACCAGAUGUUGACUGGAAACAUAUGGCGAUGCUUUGGGAUCAAUCCUGUUUCUCAUGGAUAUCCUAAAACAGCAAAAGGCUUUCUUGGCUGUGUUCCCUUCCUUCAGAGGCUGGCCUUCCUUGACUCCCGGACCAUCAUUCCGGCAGGCAAGAUGAGCCCAUCCUGCCUUACACUGAAGGUCACUGGCAGAGUCCUGAGCUGUAAAUGGAAUCUGACUCAGGGACUUCUGUGGCCUGGAAUGUCCUGAACCGGCCAAGAUUUGACAGAGCCUUCGGUGCCCAGGGCACUGUCUGAGUCACAGAGCAGCAUCGCACAGCCUAGUUCACCCCGGGCAAAAACGUUCCAAGUUCUCUGGAUGAACAGCCUACAGAUGCCCAGCACUGAAGGCCUGGGUCUGGCAGCCCCCAAACAGAAAGCCCACCCCAAGGGAGGUCCUGCUUCGACACCUCUCCACCGUCACUGUCCUGCCCUCCAAAAUUCACUCUCCUCCAAAGCACUUGGUUAAAACUGGGCUUUGUCGCGCUGUCAGGAGUCUGUUGAGCUGUAGAAGCACAGACAGUCCCACUUUUCAGCUCAGCACAUCCCUGGAAAAGGGGCUCUAAAGAGGACCUUCAGGAUGUCGAUCAUAUUUUCUUAUAGGAACGCUCUUCUAAUUGGGGUGCGUUUCUAACCAGAGUCGUGGCUUCAAAUGAAUCACCGUGAUUUCCAGCAGCAUGUCAUCAAAGCCAAUAUGUCCCCAAACCUCUGUAAUCAUCUAUCAGAAGAAAAUCUCUGACAAGCCUUUUUCUCUUGAUGCUGGCAGAGCCCUCAGCUCAUUACUCAGUGUUCCUGAGCUGAGCUCUCCCUCCCCGCCGCACGGGCUGGAGCCCUUUCUUUCCUCUCCUGCCCUUGAUCUUGAGGCUGUUAGCCCCCUCGUUGUUCCGCACUAGCUGGCUCUUCUCCUUUCUUCACUGAAUUCCUUUAGCUAAAAGACCUUUGAACAAUUUACGAUUUCAGUGCUCUCCUUUCCCGCCAACCCCCACAUUUGGCAUAACCCACGCUGUGACGAGCAGCACCCCAGAUCAUCAUGACCCCGUCCCUCCCCGCAUUACUGAGC
rnacentral:lncRNA from 1 species